CCUACGGGAGGCAGCAGGAGGGAAUAUUGCUCAAUGGGGGAAACCCUGAAGCAGCAACGCCGCGUGGAGGAUGAAGGUUUUCGGAGUGUAAACUCCUUUUGUUAGAGAAGAGAAUGACGGUAUCUAACGAAUAAGCACCGGCUAACGCCGGGCCAGCAGCCGCGGUAAUACGGAGGGUGCAAGCGUUCCUCGGAAUCACUGGGCGUAAAGAGCGCGUAGGCGGGAUAGCACGUCAGAUGUGAAAUCCUAUGGCUUAACCAUAGAACUGCAUUUGAAACUGUUAUUCUAGAGUAUGGGAGAGGUAGGUGGACUUCUUUGUGUAGUGGUUACAUCCGUAGAGAUCACG
rnacentral:rRNA from 1 species